GACGAACGCUGGCGGCGUGCUUAACACAUGCUUUUCGAACGGAAAGGCCCUGCUUUUGUGGGGUGCUCGAGUGGCGAACGGGUGAGUAACACGUGAGUAACCUGCCCUUGACUUUGGGAUAACUUCAGGAAACUGGGGCUAAUACCGGAUAGGAGCUCCUGCUGCAUGGUGGGGGUUGGAAAGUUUCGGCGGUUGGGGAUGGACUCGCGGCUUAUCAGCUUGUUGGUGGGGUAGUGGCUUACCGAGGCUUUGACGGGUAGCCGGCCUGAGAGGGUGACCGGCCACAUUGGGACUGAGAUACGGCCCAGACUCCUACGGGAGGCAGCAGUGGGGAAUAUUGCACAAUGGGCGGAAGCCUGAUGCAGCAACGCCGCGUGCGGGAUGACGGCCUUCGGGUUGUAAACCGCUUUCGCCUGUGACGAAGCGUGAGUGACGGUAAUGGGUAAAGAAGCACCGGCUAACUACGUGCCAGCAGCCGCGGUGAUACGUAGGGUGCGAGCGUUGUCCGGAUUUAUUGGGCGUAAAGGGCUCGUAGGUGGUUGAUCGCGUCGGAAGUGUAAUCUUGGGGCUUAACCCUGAGCGUGCUUUCGAUACGGGUUGACUUGAGGAAGGUAGGGGAGAAUGGAAUUCCUGGUGGAGCGGUGGAAUGCGCAGAUAUCAGGGGGAACACCAGUGGCGAAGGCGGUUCUCUGGGCCUUUCCUGACGCUGAGGAGCGAAAGCGUGGGGAGCGAACAGGCUUAGAUACCCUGGUAGUCCACGCUGUAAACGGUGGGUACUAGGUGUGGGGUCCAUUCCACGGGUUCCGUGCCGUAGCUAACGCUUUAAGUACCCCGCCUGGGGAGUACGGCCGCAAGGCUAAAACUCAAAGGAAUUGACGGGGCCCCGCACAAGCGGCGGAGCAUGCGGAUUAAUUCGAUGCAACGCGUAGAACCUUACCUGGGUUUGACAUGGAUCGGGAGUGCUCAGAGAUGGGUGUGCCUCUUUUGGGGUCGGUUCACAGGUGGUGCAUGGCUGUCGUCAGCUCGUGUCGUGAGAUGUUGGGUUAAGUCCCGCAACGAGCGCAACCCUUGUUCACUGUUGCCAGCACGUUAUGGUGGGGACUCAAUGGAGACCGCCGGGGUCAACUCGGAGGAAGGUGGGGAUGACGUCAAGUCAUCAUGCCCCUUAUGUCCAGGGCUUCACGCAUGCUACAAUGGCUGGUACAGAGAGUGGCGAGCCUGUGAGGGUGAGCGAAUCUCGGAAAGCCGGUCUCAGUUCGGAUUGGGGUCUGCAACUCGACCUCAUGAAGUCGGAGUCGCUAGUAAUCGCAGAUCAGCAACGCUGCGGUGAAUAAGUUCCCGGG
rnacentral:rRNA from 1 species